rnacentral:rRNA from 1 species
GUGGGGAAUCUUGCGCAAUGGGCGAAAGCCUGACGCAGCCAUGCCGCGUGAAUGAUGAAGGUCUUAGGAUUGUAAAAUUCUUUCACCGGGGACGAUAAUGACGGUACCCGGAGAAGAAGCUCCGGCUAACUUCGUGCCAGCAGCCGCGGUAAUACGAAGGGGGCUAGCGUUGCUCGGAAUUACUGGGCGUAAAGGGCGCGUAGGCGGACAGCUUAGUCAGAGGUGAAAGCCCAGGGCUCAACCUUGGAAUUGCCUUUGAUACUGGCUGUCUUGAGUUUGGGAGAGGUGAGUGGAACUCCGAGUGUAGAGGUGAAAUUCGUAGAUAUUCGGAAGAACACCAGUGGCGAAGGCGACAUACUGGUCCAUUACUGACGCUGAGGCUCGAAAGCGUGGGGAGCAAACAGGAUUAGAAACCCUUGUAGUCC